rnacentral:tRNA from 1 species
CGAGGUUGGUCAGGCCCGUCGAGACCGGCGAGAACAGUUCGCCGAUGUUCGGGGCGCGGACGGCGCGCUGAUAGUUGCCGCGAACCUUGA